GUAGGUGAACCUGCGGAAGGAUCAUUACAUUCAGUAGCCUAGCUACUUGUUUACACCCUUGUUUUUUGCGUACCUAUUGUUUCCUCGGCGGGCUUGCUCGCCGGUUGGACAAAACUAUAACCUUUUUUAAAUCUUCAAUCAGCGUCUGAAUUAUACAUAAUAAUUACAACUUUCAACAACGGAUCUCUUGGUUCUG
rnacentral:misc_RNA from 1 species